UUAGAGUGCUUAAAGCAGGCUACCUUCGCCUGAAUGCUGCGUGCAUGGAAUAAUGGAAUAGGACCUCGGUUCUAUUUUGUUGGUUUUCGGAACCCCGAGGUAAUGAUUAAUAGGGACAGAUGGGGGCAUUCGUAUUGCGACGUUAGAGGU
rnacentral:rRNA from 1 species